GGGAUAACCUCCGGAAACGGUGGCUAAUACUGGAUAUCUAACACGAUCGCAUGGUCUGUGUUUGGAAAGAUUUUUUGGUUAUGGAUCGGCUCACGGCCUAUCAGCUUGUUGGUGAGGUAAUGGCUCACCAAGGCGACGACGGGUAGCCGGCCUGAGAGGGUGACCGGCCACACUGGGACUGAGACACGGCCCAGACUCCUACGGGAGGCAGCAGUGGGGAAUAUUGCACAAUGGGCGAAAGCCUGAUGCAGCAACGCCGCGUGAGGGAUGACGGCCUUCGGGUUGUAAACCUCUUUUAGUAGGGAAGAAGCGAAAGUGACGGUACCUGCAGAAAAAGCACCGGCUAACUACGUGCCAGCAGCCGCGGUAAUACGUAGGGUGCAAGCGUUGUCCGGAAUUAUUGGGCGUAAAGAGCUCGUAGGCGGUUUGUCGCGUCUGCUGUGAAAUCCCGAGGCUCAACCUCGGGUCUGCAGUGGGUACGGGCAGACUACAGUGUGGUAGGGGAGAUUGGAAUUCCUGGU
rnacentral:rRNA from 1 species